rnacentral:rRNA from 1 species
AGGUCACUGCUAUUGGGAUUCGACUAAGCCAUGCGAGUCGAGAGGGUUCGGCCCUCGGCAGACUGCUCAGUAACACGUGGAUAAUCUGCCCUUAGGUGGAGGAUAAUUUCGGGAAACUGAGAAUAAUACUCCAUAGGUCUAGGAGGCUGGAAUGCCCCUAGGCUUAAAACUCCGGUGCCUAAGGAUGAGUCUGCGGACUAUCAGGUUGUAGUCAGGGUAAUGACCUGACUAGCCUACGACGGAUACGGGUUGUGAGAGCAAUAACCCGGAGACGAUAUCUGAGACACGAUAUCGGGCCCUACGGGGCGCAGCAGGCGCGAAACCUUCACAAUGUGCGAAAGCGCGAUGAGGGGAUCCCAAGUGCUUGCUCUUAGGAGUAAGCUGUUUCUUUGUUUAAAAUGCAGAGAGAGGAAGGGCUGGGUAAGACGGGUGCCAGCCGCCGCGGUAAUACCUGCAGCUCAAGUGGUGACCAUUAUUAUUGGGCCUAAAACGUUCGUAGCCUGCUAAGUAAAUGCCUGGGUAAAUCGUGCCGCUCAACGGUACGAAUUCCGGGUAGACUGCUUAGCUUGAGACCGGGAGAAGCUAGAGGUACUCCUGGGGUAGGGGUGAAAUCCUGUAAUCCUGGGGGGACCACCAGUGGCGAAGGCGUCUAGCUAGAACGGGUCUGACGGUGAGGAACGAAACCCUGGGGCGCAAACCGGAUUAGAUACCCGGGUAGUCCAGGGCGCAAACGCUGCUUGCUUGAUGUUAGCUGGGCUUCGAGCUCAACUAGUGUCGGAGUGAAGAUGUUAAGCAAGCUGCCUGGGAAGUACGAUCGCAAGAUUGAAACUUAAAGGAAUUGGCGGGGGAGCACAGCAACGGGUGGAGCGUGCGGUUUAAUUGGAUUCAACGCCGGG